rnacentral:rRNA from 1 species
AUUGAACGCUGGCGGCAGGCCUAACACAUGCAAGUCGAGCGGAGCGGCGGACGGGCGAGUAAUGCAUAGGAAUCUGCCUGGCAGUGGGGGAUAACGUCCGGAAACGGGCGCUAACACCGCAUACUAUCAGAUGAGCCUAGGUGGGAUUAGCUAGUUGGUGGGGUAAAGGCCUACCAAGGCGAUGAUCCGUACCUGGUCUGAGAGGAUGAUCAGUCACACUGGAACUGAGACACGGUCCAGACUCCUACGGGAGGCAGCAGUGGGGAAUAUUGGACAAUGGGCGAAAGCCUGAUGCAGCCAUGCCGCGUGUGUGAAGAAGGUCUUCGGAUUGUAAAGCACUUUAAGUUGGGAGGCGUUACCAGCAGAAUAAGCACCGGCUAACUUCGUGCCAGCAGCCGCGGUAAUUC